GUAACAAAAUGAUGCGUUCACUAGUUCAAAUGUAAACCACUAUUUUAGGAAGAAAAAAAAUUAAUUUUAUAUGUUUUUCAUCCAUUAAAGUAAUUGGUCCACAUAAAUAGAACUAUAUCCAUCAAAAAGUUCUAUACAAGGAUGCCAUCCCUCAACAUUACUCUCCUCCUCUCGCACUAACCAAAGCAUCAGCUAUCCUAGUGCGAAUGGUAUUCAUGGUAUCCUCAUUCUCCACAUCGUCAC
rnacentral:lncRNA from 1 species